rnacentral:rRNA from 1 species
UACGUAGGUGGCAAGCGUUGUCCGGAUUUAUUGGGUUUAAAGGGUGCGUAGGCGGCUUUGUAAGUCAGUGGUGAAAUAUGGCAGCUCAACUGUCAAGGUGCCAUUGAUACUGCGGAGCUUGAGUACAGAUGAGGUAGGCGGAAUUGACGGUGUAGCGGUGAAAUGCUUAGAUAUCGGGAGGAACACCAGUGGCGAAGGCGACUUCCUGGCCUGUUCUUGACGCUGAGGCGCGAAAGCUAGGGUAGCAAACGGG